UGGGAGGUGGUUGCAAAAGAAGUAUGUAGCUGAACCGUCGGGAGGGCGCUUACCACUUUGUGAUUCAUGACUGGGGUGAAGUCGUAACAAGGUAACCGUAGGUGAACCUGCGGUUGGAACACCUCCUUACCGUAAAGAAGC
rnacentral:rRNA from 1 species